AGCACCUCGAGUGGUCAGGAGGUUUAUUGGGCCUAAAGCAUCCGUAGCCGGUUGCAUAAGUUUUCGGUUAAAUCUAUGCGCUUAACGUAUAGGCCGCCGAAAUACUGUGCAGCUAGGGAGUGGGAGAGGUACACGGUACUCGAUAGGAGGGGUAAAAUCCUUUGAUCUAUUGAUGACCACCUGUGGCGAAGGCGGUGUACCAGAACACGUUCGACGGUGAGGGAUGAAAGCUGGGGGAGCAAACC
rnacentral:rRNA from 1 species